AAACAUGUAAUCAUAAAUGACUUAACAGUCAUGAAAAUACACACUUUUACUUAAGAAACUGCUUUACUCAUAUGACUUCAAAAAUCUAACAUAGAAGGGCAUUAUGGCAUGAGAAGAGUCCUGUACUCUAUGCUGGAUCAAGAAUAACUAGCAUCACAUAACAGUUGGAAUAAUACUUUGCUUUUUUAUAUGUAAUCUCUCAUCAGAAGCAGGUAAGUACACAAGUACUAUUUGUGAAAGUAUUACAUACUAACAAUACUAAAACAGAUACAUGCUAUGGAUUCUAAUUAGCUGGAGGAACCUCCGCUCUGCAUUUCAUAUUACACUCUCUUCUAUGAUACUGCUGCCUCAUCUCCACUGUCUACCUUCAGUUUCUAAGUGUGAAUAACCCUGACUAAAGCUAGCCUCAUGCUAAGUGACUAAUCAGUCAGAUUACCCAUUAGGUAAAUAGCUAUCUUAGAUUGCUCCCUGUUUUUUGGCUAUAGUCUAAUUUGCACCAUUGAGACUUAAUAUUUUUAACCCUCCAAGUGUUUAUAAUACAUUUAUUUAUCUGAAAUUUUUACACAGUGUAUAUAGCACAGUUUUUUACAUUUCCUUAUAAGCAGAGCACUAACAAUUUCAGUAUCUGCAUCAAAUAGUGAGUCAGCAGUUGGGACUGAACUAGCUACUAAAUAGCUACUAAAUGUGAAUAGCUAAUGAACCAUACUGCUGUCUAUAAUUUUAUCCGAUUCCUUUCCUCUUUUAUGCUCCUGGCCAGAUAGUAUGUACAAGCUAAUGAAAAGAUGCAGGGGUACUCUACACAUUUAUACCCUGACAGGAUGUGUUAAUGUUACUGCCUAUUAAUCUUUUAAUUUAAUCUUACUUUUAAUGUCUCUAGUUGCUCACAAUGGGGUUACUUCACACCCUGUAGGGUUUUGUGUACCUAAUUAUCAUCUAGAUGUUUUCCCGACAAGGUUGCCCAAGUCUUCUACAUUAAAUAUAAUAAAUGGAUUAAUUAGCUGAUACUGCAAAGUUGUGGUUAACUAGUUCAGUCCUGGGACCUCUGUGGUGUGAGGUUUUUGUUCCAUCAAGUUUCACAAUCAGUGUGCCAUUAUACUUCUUAUUAAUCUCAUUGCUUAAUUAGCAGGACAUUUUUCUUAUUUUGUUUACAAAAAAGCAGGUGUGUGUUAUAUACUUUCGUUAAAAAUUAUAAAAUAUUUGUAAUUUUGCCAUAGUUUAAAGUUCUUAACUGUAUGUCAUUUUCCUUCACCUUUUUCUGUGGAAUUUACUCCCUUAAUUCAUCCAUCCAUCCAUUUUCCAAACCGCUGAAUCCAAACACAGGGUCACGGGGGUCUGCUGGAGCCAAUCCCAGCCAGCACUGGGCGCAAGGCAGGAACCAACCCACCACAGGACACACACACCCACACACCAAGCACACACUAGGGCCAAUUUAGAAUCGCCAAUCCAUCUAACCUGCAUGUCUUUGGACUGUGGGACGAAACCCACGCAGACACGGGGAGAACAUGCAAACUCCACGCAGGGAGGACCCAGGAAGCGAACCCGGGUCUCCUUACUGCGAGGCAGCAGCGCUACCACUGCACCACCGUGCCACCUACUCCCUUAAUUCUACCCCAAAUAUGGCAAUUAACAAUAAACAAUGUAGGCACCAGAGCUACUAAAAUUGUUCUGGAACUCUGAAGUGUUGAGCUCUUAGGAAAUAUUAAAAUAGAUUAAUUUUUCAGUUUAAACAAACUGUCUAAGUGUAGGCAUAACAGAAAUAAUUAAUAUUACGAAAUGAAUAAAUAAGGUGUAAUCUAGCUCCUAUAUUAGGCAGUUCUUGUAUGAAAUGAUGAGGACCCUCGUUGAUUCUUCUUCCCUGGUGUAAUGUAAUAAAACCCCCAAAACACACAAAAGAGACAAAUACAGGACUCGAGUAUCAAAAGCAAACAAAUACCAAUUAAAUCCUGCUGGCCCACUUUGCCCCGUCUGUCUAUCUGGGAUUUCUUCAACAUUUUCCCACCUUUCAAGUGCCACAAUUAUUCUCAUCUCAAGUGCCUUAAAUCAUGCUUUCUUCUGACUCCAGAUGAUUUUUAGGUGUCACCAUUAAACUUUUUAACAAGGUGAGUUCUAAUCCCAGUCCCAGAAUGACUUCUGCAGUAAAUCUAAUCUAGUAAUCUAAGUGUUGAUGACAGUUCAGAGUAUUUUCUAAGUGGCCACUGGUGUGCCUUGCAUCCCAUAAACCUUGCUAGCUCUAUGAAAAAACUCAUAAACCCAGCCCAACCUAAAUCCCUUCACACCUCUCCAUCAGCGUCUUUUGUCUUGUAAAUGUGUCGAUCAAGACAAGCAGCCUACUAUUCCAUCCCCCCACUGCCGCAGAAUGGGCACAAAGUUCUCCCAGUUCAAGCCUUGAUUAUCUGGGAUUGAGGUACCUAGAGCUGUAUACGGAAAUAAUAGAUUAUUAUUUGGAACACACGCAUUUCAUGUGUGUUCUGUUUCUACAAUAAUCUAUGUAUACACAUUGUUAAAUCAGAAACGUUUUUCAUAUUUUAGUAAUAAAUGACAAAAUGUAGACACAAACUGUAUAAUGUGUGAAGCCUGAGGUCCAAAGAUCAAAUAAACACUUUCACAAAAGGUAUGAGGAUUCAACAGUUUCCGUGGUGCAGCAGUAAGAAUUGCUGAUGUGUAAUCAAGAGUCCCCUGGUUCAUUCCUGACUGCCUCAUAUACAGUUUUGUGUGAGCUGCUCUUAUCUAUAUAUAUAUAAUUCACUAAGCCGCCGACAAGUAGCCACCCAUGGAAAGUACGCAAGACAGCCAUGCCCACCAACUCUAAGACCAUUGGAUACGACGACAACUCUCAGAGCCACGCCCACCAACUCGGACGCAAUGCCUUGGAAAACACGCUGUCAUUUAUGUUCGUUUGAGCUACAGUCCACAUGCACCUCUGAGCCACGUUGACUUUUCAGUUAAGACGCACGGCCGCGUGCACCAUUGCAAACUGUUUAGCAACAUACAGCAAUUUGCAUCUGCGACAAACAUGCGUCUUCUUAGAUGGUUCUGCAGGAGCAUGGAAAACGUUUCCCCGCCCACCAACACUCCUUAUUACUCGGCCCGUGUCCACUCUCGCUCUCUAGGCAUUCACAUUGCCUGCUUAUGUGCCCGGACGCUACAACUCACCGACUACCCUGUAAGUUGCUUUUGUCUGUGCUAGGAGUCCACAUGCACCUCUGAGCCACGUUGACUUUUCAUUAUUCUUUUCGGUUACGACACCCGACCAUGUCCACCAUCGAAAACCAUGGGAAAGAAACAACGAAACCCUGCCCAGAAACUGCUUCAAAUAUAUUUCAUGGAAACAACACAUCAAUCCAGCUGUAAGCCACGUUGACUGUUCAUUUGCCUUCCAUUGCCACCGCUUCAAAUGUAUUUCAUGGAAACAACACUUUUUUCAAUAUUAUUCAGAUUCCUGCAUCAGGUAACUGCACUCGCGCUACACUGAAUGGAUCAACGUGUGUCUACCCAGCGCCGUUGAACCCCAUUCGUGCUGGAAACCGGGGCUUGCAAUUGUUCCCCACGAACGAGGAAUUCCCAGUAAGUGCGGGUCAUUAUGUCCCUGCCCUUUGUACACCCAGUGGUGAGUGGUGUUUUCAGACAGUGGAACUGGAAAUUCUCUGAUCUGGAUGGAUAAAAGCUAACACAAACACUGGUGAAUCUGCCUUCUUCCUGUCUCAUUGUUGGUACAUUUCGGAAAAUAUUGUGGCACUGAUGCAACAUUAUUCAUAUUAUUCAUAUUCAUUUGCCUGCCUUCUUGCGGUUGAAAUCAGUGACCGCGUGUUUUAUUUAUUUAUUUUUUCCAAUCUUGCCCAGUCUCCACAUUGUGGUGCAUGGUGGUGUUUCUUUUGUACUCCAGGACAUGCAGAGGAAAGAAUAGUACAGAGAGGUCAGUCCCAUGCUAUAUGCAAUUAUCAAAUUCAAAUGUUAACAGUUCCCACACACCCAAGGACCGUCCUUCCUACAUUUACGACAUGUGUACCUGUUGCAAUGUACACACAUCUCUCUAUGCUGUGGUUCCUAUUACAUUGAAGAGGCACCUGACACUGACUGAGUUUGCUUUUCUGUGGGAAGGGGCGCUCUUGGAACAGAAGCUUGUUGAUGUUGUAUCCUCCUUUUCUUUUUCCAUCACCUCUAUUUGAUCUUUGAACUUCAGGCUUCAUAUAUUAUACAGUUUAUGUCUACAGUUUGUCAUUUAUUACUAAAAUAUGAAAAAUGUUCCUGUUUUAACAGUGUUUUUACAUAGAUUAUUGUAGAAACGGAACACACAUGAAAUGCACGUGUUCCAAAUAAUCUAUUAUUUCCAUAUACAGCUCUAGGUACCUGACUCCCAGAUAAUCAAGGCUUAAGCUGGGAGAACUUUGUGCCUGUUUUGUGGUGGUGGGGGGAUGAAAUAGUAGGCUGCUUGUCUUGAUCGGCACAUUUACAAGACAAAAGACACUGACCGUGAGGUGCGAAGGGAUUUAAGGUGGGCCGGGUUUACAAUUUUUUUUAGUAGGCUUUGUGUUAGUGUUAAAGAUCCAGCCCCCUAGCUUAGUUUUUCCAUCUUUCUUUUCCCUGACUCAGAAAGUGGGGACAUCCAUACUUUUUAAUGGUGCUGCCCUGUUAUAAUCUGUUGGACUUUUAUAUUUUUUUCAUAUUUUUAUUUCUCUCUCCCAUUGCGAAUUUACCUUGUCCUCUUUAUAGCACAUCCUGUCGUCUUGUUCUGUUCCAUAUACUUGGAUGACAGCUGUUAAGAAUAUAUUUUAUGUGAAUGUUAGAAAAUGUUCUUGACUCAGAAAACUGGUCGCUCAUAGAGGAAGUUAACAGGAGCUGUAGGAGAAAUAGUCCUCUGGGCAACGUCGGAUUUAUGUUUUAUAUUAUGUUAACAGUAAAGAGCAAUUAUUUUGUAUAUUAGGCUAAAUAGUCAUUUUGUGAUUCUCUGAGGACUUUUACCUCGUUUCACAUGUAAACCCCCUCCCUGCAUGAUUAGAAGUAUGUAUAUUACCUUGAGACAUAACGCUUUUGAUUUACUUAAUUGUUUAAAAUUCCAACUUGGCAUAAAUGUAGCAGCCAUCAUUAUAUCUCUUAUUGCGUAUUGUGAUACUCCACCAAAAUGCACAAAAGGGAGAGCAGGCCUAAAUAAAGGACCACAUGAAGUAAAAGACCAGAAUAACCCUCAUUCAGGUUUGUGCCCCAGGAAUAGACCUCACCCCAGGCAAACUAACACCUACCUAAAUGGCAGUCUUCAGCCUGCACGGGCAUAGAUAGUUUAAAAAAACAAGUCUAAAUGUCCAAAGCAGCAAAAACAAAGGAGAGAAAAAAAAUAGAAAAACCUCUAGCUAAACAAAGGCAAAUUAACUUACUUUUAAUCUUGAAAUAUUUAUCACAGAUCAAAGAGGAUGCCAGAAACCAAAGCAGAAUAAAAAAAAGUGAAAAAGGUUUUGCCUUAGUGGCAAGCAAACACAAUAAUUCACAGACCAAGAAAAAGUUAAUGAAAUGCAGGGGUCUAAAGCCGGUGUCAAUUUUUUUUUUUUUUUUACCUUUGCCAAGCAUUGUAAUUAAAGCUUUUGAUCUCUGACCCCAUCUUGCCCAUCUCUAAGCAGUAUUGCUAUGAACAAGGUCAAAACUGAUUUAGAAAGGCUGGAGAAAAAAGGACAGAAAACAUCCUGACUCCAGGGUUCUGUUUAUCAGUAACCUACAAGGACAUGAGAAACUGUUCAGUUAUCAUAUACUACUGUAAUUAAAUGUGUAGUUAAGAAGUGUAAUCAGCUCUAAUUUAGUCAUUGCCUUUGCUCUGCUGCAUGACUAAGGCAUGUCCUACAUCCUGGACAUGGCUCAGUGAAUUUAUCUUUGACAGCAGGAACUUCAGCAGUCCACCAAAAUGAAAAUCAGUAAUCAAAAUCAAUAAUGCUGAAUUUGCUAUAAGACCUCCGGCAUUAUCAGGUAACCCUGCCUAUUUGGGCUCAGUAUGCAGGUAGCUGGAACAUCAAUAAUGUUAACAAAAUGAACACCAACAACAAUAAUAUCAAUAACUAAUAUAACAAAAUAAUAUUAGAUUAAAGCAAAAGUCAAAACAAAUCCAAAAACAGAAUCAACUACAGAAUGUGGAAAAUUAUAUUUAAAUAACACCACAAAGACUAAAAAAAAAAAUUGGGGGUGGUCUCCCCUAGACUUUAUCGUAUACAGUACUCAUAUAUGGGGAUGGAUAUUUGAGGAGUAAACUGCAA